GUGCCAUUCUUAACGGGAUGGCUUUUCUUUAGUGUAAAAAGCUUUUGGAAUAAGAGCUGGGCAAGACCGGUGCCAGCCGCCGCGGUAA
rnacentral:rRNA from 1 species